AUUGAGCGCUGGCGGCAGGCUUAACACAUGCAAGUCGAGCGGAGAUGAGGUGCUUGCACCUUAUCUUAGCGGCGGACGGGUGAGUAAUGCUUAGGAAUCUGCCUAUUAGUGGGGGACAACAUUUCGAAAGGGAUGCUAAUACCGCAUACGCCCUAAGGGGGAAAGCAGGGGAUCUUCGGACCUUGCGCUAAUAGAUGAGCCUAAGUCGGAUUAGCUAGUUGGUGGGGUAAAGGCCUACCAAGGAGACGAUCUGUAGCGGGUCUGAGAGGAUGGGCCGCCACACUGGGAAUGAGACACGGCCCAGACUCCUACGGGAGGCAGCAGUGGGGAAUAUUGGACAAUGGUGGGAACCCUGAUCCAGCCAUGCCGCGUGUGUGAAGAAGGCCUUUUGGUUGUAAAGCACUUUAAGCGAGGAGGAGGCUACCGAGAUUAAUACUCUUGGAUAGUGGACGUUACUCGCAGAAUAAGCACCGGCUAACUACGUGCCAGCAGCCGCAGUAACAC
rnacentral:rRNA from 1 species